rnacentral:lncRNA from 1 species
AGGUGCUGGAGGGCUGCGGGAGGCGUGAGGAAAAGGGCAUCUAGAAUUUAGCAUCCAAACGCUGUUCGCUCGCCAGCGGCGCGGAUUGGACGAGAAACUUGGGCUCCCUCAGCCUCUGUUUCCCCCUCUGUAGCGCCGCCUACCGUGCAGGCCUUGGCGAGCAAUCUGAGGUGAUGCGGAAAGCGCCCUGGGCGGGCGGGCGCGCGCGUCUAUCCCUGCGCGCGGGGCGCAGAGCCUGCGAGUCGACCCAGCAGAGCGCGGAAAGAGUCCUAGCCGUAGCCUCAGUGCCGGAGAUGGAACCUAGGACCUUGUGCAACUGAGGGGUCACGAUGUAGUUCGGGCUGGCCUUAAACUAUGUAGUCCAGGGCAGCAAGACCCCUUCUUGUCCAUUCGUGUACCUCCUCUCUAUGCGCGCCUGUAAAUCCCAGCACUUGGGAGGCUGAGAGGGGAGGAUCACUGGAGCUCAGGAGUUACUGGAGACCAAACCGGGCAACAUAGUGAGACAUCCGCCCCCAACUAAUCAAGAAACUUUCCCACGGGGGAAAGACUCUCGCUUAGGUAAGACGGCCCCCCACCCUGGACACUCAUCUGGGACUCAAAAGUCUCAGCUUCCUCCAGAAAGUCCCCUCCCCCUUAAUAAGGUCUGCACGGCUGGACAGACCUCACUUUUGGGGAUAAUACCUCAAUCAGGAGAAAAACCCUCCUUCCUGAAACCUGCCUUUAAUCCUGAGGAUGCCCAACCUGGUCAAAUAUCUCAGAGUAGGACCAGCUAGGGGUCCCUUGUUUAAAAAAUGAAAAAUUAGGGGCAGGGGAAGUAGCUCAGUGGCGCCGCGCCUACC